AGGGGUAUAGUUCAGUAGUAGAGCAUUUGACUGCAGCUCAAGAGGUCCUGGUUCGAAUCCGGUGCCCCCU
rnacentral:tRNA from 1 species